rnacentral:rRNA from 1 species
GACGAACGCUGGCGGCGUGCUUAACACAUGCAAGUCGAACGCUGAAGCUCAGCUUUUGUUGGGUGGAUGAGUGGCGAACGGGUGAGUAACACGUGAGUAACCUGCCCCCUUCUUUGGGAUAACGCCCGGAAACGGGUGCUAAUACUGGAUAUUCACUGGUCUUCGCAUGGGGGUUGGUGGAAAGGGUUUUUCUGGUGGGGGAUGGGCUCGCGGCCUAUCAGCUUGUUGGUGGGGUGAUGGCCUACCAAGGCUUUGACGGGUAGCCGGCCUGAGAGGGUGACCGGUAACAUUGGGACUGAGAUACGGCCCAGACUCCUACGGGAGGCAGCAGUGGGGAAUAUGGCACAAUGGGCGCAAGCCUGAUGCAGCGACGCCGCGUGAGGGGUGGAGGCCUUCGGGUUGUGAACCUCUUUCGCUCAUGGUCAAGCCGCAACAAUGGUUGUGGUGAGGGUAGUGGGUAAAGAAGCGCCGGCUAACUACGUG